rnacentral:rRNA from 1 species
UUAAGCGAAUAAGCGUACACGGUGGAUGCCUAGGCAAUCAGAGGCGAUGAAGGACGUGCUAAUCUGCGAAAAGCGUCGGUAAGGUGAUAUGAACCGUUAUACCCGACGAUAUCCGAAUGGGGAAACCCAGUAUCCAAUGGAUACUAUCAUUAACUGAAUCCAUAGGUUAAUGAGGCGAACCGGGAGAACUGAAACAUCUCAGUACCCCGAGGAAAAGAAAUCAACCGAGAUUCCCCUAGUAGCGGCGAGCGAACGGGGAGCAGCCCAGAGUCUUAAUCAAUAGCAGUGUCAGGAGAACGGUCUGGAAAGUCCGGCAGUAAAGGGUGAUAGCCCCGUAUCUGAAGAUGCUGUUAUUGUGAACUCGACGAGUAGGGCGGGACACGUGUUAUCCUGUCUGAAUAUGGGGGGACCAUCCUCCAAGGCUAAAUACUCCUGAUUGACCGAUAGUGAACCAGUACCGUGAGGGAAAGGCGAAAAGAACCCCGGCGAGGGGAGUGAAAAAGAACCUGAAACCGUGUACGUACAAGCAGUAGGAGCCUCUUUAUGGGGUGACUGCGUACCUUUUGUAUAAUGGGUCAGCGACUUAUAUUCUGUAGCGAGGUUAACCGUAUAGGGGAGCCGUAGGGAAACCGAGUCUUAACUGGGCGAAUGAGUUGCAGGGUAUAGACCCGAAACCCGGUGAUCUAUCCAUGGGCAGGUUGAAGGUUGGGUAACACUAACUGGAGGACCGAACCGACUAAUGUUGAAAAAUUAGCGGAUGACUUGUGGAUGGGGGUGAAAGGCCAAUCAAACCGGGAGAUAGCUGGUUCUCCCCGAAAGCUAUUUAGGUAGCGCCUCGUGAACUCAUCUUCGGGGGUAGAGCACUGUUUCGACUAGGGGGUCAUCCCGACUUACCAACUCGAUGCAAACUGCGAAUACCGAAGAAUGUUAUCACGGGAGACACACGGCGGGUGCUAACGUCCGUCGUGAAGAGGGAAACAACCCAGACCGCCAGCUAAGGUCCCAAAGUCAUGGUUAAGUGGGAAACGAAGUGGGAAGGCUCAGACAGCCAGGAUGUUGGCUUAGAAGCAGCCAUCAUUUAAAGAAAGCGUAAUAGCUCACUGGUCGAGUCGGCCCGCGCGGAAGAUGUAACGGGGCUAAACCAUGCACCGAAGCUGCGGCAGCGACACAAUGUGUUGUUGGGUAGGGGAGCGUUCUGUAAGCCUGCGAAGGUGUACUGUGAGGUAUGCUGGAGGUAUCAGAAGUGCGAAUGCUGACAUAAGUAACGAUAAUGCGGGUGAAAAACCCGCACGCCGGAAGACCAAGGGUUCCUGUCCAACGUUAAUCGGGGCAGGGUGAGUCGACCCCUAAGGCGAGGCUGAAAAGCGUAGUCGAUGGGAAACGGGUUAAUAUUCCCGUACUGGUGGUAACUGCGAUGGGGGAACGGAGAAGGCUAGGUUGUCCGGGCGACGGUCGUCCCGGUUCAAGCAGGUAGGCAGAGUGAUUAGGCAAAUCCGGUCACUUAAUGCUGAGAUGUGAUGACGAACCACUAAGGUGGUGAAGCAAUUGAUGCCCCGCUUCCAGGAAAAGCCUCUAAGCUUCAGGUUACCAACAAUCGUACCCCAAACCGACACAGGUGGUCAGGUAGAGAAUACUCAGGCGCUUGAGAGAACUCGGGUGAAGGAACUAGGCAAAAUGGUGCCGUAACUUCGGGAGAAGGCACGCUGGCGGUAGGUAAAGUCCCUUGCGGACGGCGCUGAAGCCAGUCGAAGAUACCAGCUGGCUGCAACUGUUUAUUAAAAACACAGCACUGUGCAAACACGAAAGUGGACGUAUACGGUGUGACGCCUGCCCGGUGCUGGAAGGUUAAUUGAUGGGGUCAGCCGCAAGGCGAAGCUCCUGAUCGAAGCCCCAGUAAACGGCGGCCGUAACUAUAACGGUCCUAAGGUAGCGAAAUUCCUUGUCGGGUAAGUUCCGACCUGCACGAAUGGCGUAAUGAUGGCCAGGCUGUCUCCACCCGAGACUCAGUGAAAUUGAACUCGCUGUGAAGAUGCAGUGUACCCGCGGCAAGACGGAAAGACCCCGUGAACCUUUACUAUAGCUUGACACUGAACAUUGAGCCUUGAUGUGUAGGAUAGGUGGGAGGCUUUGAAGUGUGGACGCCAGUCUGCAUGGAGCCAACCUUGAAAUACCACCCUUUAACGUUUGAUGUUCUAACCUAGGCCCAUAAACUGGGUCGGGGACCGUGUCUGGUGGGUAGUUUGACUGGGGCGGUCUCCUCCUAAAGAGUAACGGAGGAGCACGAAGGUUGGCUAAGCAUGGUCGGACAUCAUGCGGUUAGUGCAAAGGCAUAAGCCAGCUUGACUGCGAGAGUGACGGCUCGAGCAGGUACGAAAGUAGGUCUUAGUGAUCCGGUGGUUCUGAAUGGAAGGGCCAUCGCUCAACGGAUAAAAGGUACUCCGGGGAUAACAGGCUGAUACCGCCCAAGAGUUCAUAUCGACGGCGGUGUUUGGCACCUCGAUGUCGGCUCAUCACAUCCUGGGGCUGAAGUAGGUCCCAAGGGUAUGGCUGUUCGCCAUUUAAAGUGGUACGCGAGCUGGGUUUAGAACGUCGUGAGACAGUUCGGUCCCUAUCUGCCGUGGGCGUUGGAAGAUUGAGAGGGGUUGCUCCUAGUACGAGAGGACCGGAGUGAACGCACCACUGGUGUUCGGGUUGUCAUGCCAAUGGCAUUGCCCGGUAGCUAAGUGCGGAAGAGAUAACCGCUGAAAGCAUCUAAGCGGGAAACUUGCCUCGAGAUGAGUCUUCCCUGUCGCUUUAAGCGACCUAAAGGAACGUUUAAGACUAAGACGUUGAUAGGCUGGGUGUGUAAGCGUAGCGAUACGUUGAGCUAACCAGUACUAAUGAACCGUGAGGCUUAACCUG